rnacentral:rRNA from 1 species
GACGAACGCUGGCGGCGUGCUUAACACAUGCAAGUCGAACGGAAAGGCCCUGCUUUUGUGGGGUGCUCGAGUGGCGAACGGGUGAGUAACACGUGAGUAACCUGCCCUUGACUUUGGGAUAACUUCAGGAAACUGGGGCUAAUACCGGAUAGGAGCUCCUGCUGCAUGGUGGGGGUUGAAAGUUUCGGCGGUUGGGGAUGGACUCGCGGCUUAUCAGCUUGUUGGUGGGGUAGUGGCUUACCAAGGCUUUGACGGGUAGCCGGCCUGAGAGGGUGACCGGCCACAUUGGGACUGAGAUACGGCCCAGACUCCUACGGGAGGCAGCAGUGGGGAAUAUUGCACAAUGGGCGGAAGCCUGAUGCAGCAACGCCGCGUGCGGGAUGAAGGCCUUCGGGUUGUAAACCGCUUUCGCCUGUGACGAAGCGUGAGUGACGGUAAUGGGUAAAGAAGCACCGGCUAACUACGUG